rnacentral:rRNA from 1 species
CUGGUUGAUCCUGCCAGUAGUCAUAUGCUUGUCUCAAAGACUAAGCCAUGCAUGUCUAAGUAUAAAUGUUAUACAGUGAAACUGCGAAUGGCUCAUUAAAACAGUUAUAGUUUAUUUGAUAAUCGAAUUUACAUGGAUAACCGUGGUAAUUCUAGAGCUAGUACAUGCUGGUUAGCCUGACUUCGAGGAAGGGCUGUAUUUAUUAGAUAACAAACCAAUAUUCUUCGUGUCUAUUGUGAUGACUCAUAAUAACUGAUCGAAUCGCAUGGUCCUUGACCGCGAUAAAUCAUUCAAGUUUCUGCCCCAUCAGCUUUCGAUGGUAGUGUAUUGGACUACCAUGGCUUUAACGGGUAACGGAGGAUUAGGGUUCGAUUCCGGAGAGGGAGCCUGAGAAACGGCUACCACAUCUAAGGAAGGCAGCAGGCGCGUAAAUUACCCAAUCCUGACUCAGGGAGGUAGUGACAAGAAAUAACGGACCGAGGCUUUGCUUCGGGAUUGCAAUGAGUAGAAUUUAAACCCCUUUACGAGGAUCCAUUGGAGGGCAAGUCUGGU